UGAACACGGAUAACGUGAUGUCUGCAGACAGAGAAGCGGUUAGGAUAGCAUAAUAAUCAUAAUACCGUUAUAAUACUACAAUAUGAAAACACAACCGGGUCAUUCCUCAAAAUGGUCGCCUUGUAAAUUUUGAAAAGGUAUUUUAUUGUUCUGGGAGUACUGAGUGUUCACGUGUACCCCCUCCCUCUGUCAGAGAGGAAGACUGGACCUAUCAGCGCUGAAGGACGGCACAGCAGGUAGACUGCAGGAGGAGCCAUAGUUGACCUGCAGCAGAGGCUUAUGGGAAGGAUGAGCAGGAAAAGGAGGGGCAAGUUUUGUGCUGUUUAAGAAGAUAUUCCCCAAGCUUCCCACUGAAACAACAAAGAACACCAU